rnacentral:rRNA from 1 species
UAUAAUAUUGUAAUUUGUCUUAGUUUUGUAACUAAAAUAGUUUGGCAGCAAGUGAAUCCAGUCAGGGGAAGGUGUGUUGUAAAGGACGAUCCGCCUAAUAAUUUACUUAAGUUUUGUUGGUGUAUAUCUGGUUAGAUAUUAUUGCUUUAGUAGCUUAAUUUGUGUAUAGUUAUUAUUUAAGCCAAGUCUAUGAGCUGCUUAUUUAAGUUUUCAUGCGUUACAAUUGAUAAUGUUUAACAUGUAAAGGUUAAAAAUAUUUAGGACUUGAUAGUAAUGUAAAAUUAAUUUGUUUAUG